rnacentral:lncRNA from 1 species
CUGUUGUUGUGUAGCAGCUGACGGAUUCUGAUGCCUCUGCAUAACUGUGUACGUGUGCCUCUGGAAGCAGCUGAGUGCAUUGAGGUGUGGGUGUGAGCGGAAGUGAGAAAGAGUGGAGGUCCCUGGGAGUAGUGACUGAAGAAAGGAGUGGGUCAUUUGCAUUUCUGGCACAUGGAAGCUCUGUAAAUCCUCUGCAUCUUUCUUUUUUGCAAUCCCAAUUUGUUGAUUUAUGGGGUUUUUAUGCAGGAUUAUGCUCCAGUAUCUCUGUUCCUUAUAGUAGGAAGCUGUAAUGAUUUAUGUGUAUUGUUCUGUUGAGUGUUGUGAGGCUGCGAGGUAGGAUCUGGGAGGCCUUCAUGAUUUAUAUGUUGAUGGGUGCAGGAUGGAUAGGGAAAGGCAAUCUGAUGUAACCAUAGGUGUACAGAAAUACGGUUUCUGCAAACCACAGGAUUGAUUAAAGGAGCUCAUUUUUAUGGGGGAAGGAUUUCGCUGGUUUCUUGGUGGUUUGUAAUGCUGUUAAGUGUUUUCUGCAACAUUCCAACAGAAUAAUAGAAACAGAAUGGGGUUGCAGUAGGUUGUUUACUUAUGCAAUAGUUUUUUUCCUCCUGUUUUUGGGUGCUAUUUUUUGAGGCCUUAAAACAUGGUUUGGAGUGUGUAAAGGGUUGGGAUACCCCUUUGUAUCCCUUUUAAUUUAAUUUUAUUCUUUGCUGAUAAAAAA